UGUUUCUUUUCAAACCCCAUGAAGACGGAUCAUCUUUGGUUUUAUUUUGAAGAAAAUCGUACAUGAAGAAGAUGAUGAAUCAGAUAUCGAAGAGAAGGCUGAAGUUUUUUGUUCGAACCAGGUAACUUGUGGAUCCUUGCACUUCAUGAAACAAGAACCAACAUGUCAAGAAAGCGAUGUCAUCCUUAUGUAGGAUUUGGUUCACAUCUCCCACCCUUGUGCGAAAGGAUUGAAUGCAAAACCUCAAUCUAUUAAAACUUUAUUUUGUACAAGUCUUCUUUUGUAAAACAAUAUUACCAGUGCUAUCUUUUGAAAGCAAACAUAUGACCUGUAUACUUUUUAUAUCUU
rnacentral:lncRNA from 1 species